UGGGGCGGCCACAGGGAACCUCAAAGGGAAUCAUCCACUGUUCCAGCGGUUUAUGGAUUUUGGGAAGUAGAUAGAACUGUCUGGGCCUGGGAGGAUCUGGACCGAAAAGGUUCCUGACGAACAGACAGAACCGGACCCCCUUGCAGGCCCAUUGCUGUGGUAUUAGAGAGGGACUCAGAUUCGGGUUCAUUUAGAAGAGGAAACUCUCUUGGUAUUUUACCCCUCAUCAUUUGUCCCUCCCCCUCUAACAUGUUGUUGCCAGUUUCUGGGGUCCCCUCCGUCUUCAUCCGAGGAACCUGCAAAUGUAAAUUUGGCAUCAGGAGAAGAAACAUCAGGGUUCCACACUCUCUGCACUCCCCCUCGGGGACUGCGGCGAAGCGGCUUGAUGGACCUGCACCGACAUCUCCCUAGGCACCAGAAACGUAGGAGGGUCCGGCCAAUUCACCCUGU